rnacentral:rRNA from 1 species
AAAAAAUACGAACAUAUUUUAAACUUAAAAGACCUGGCGGUGCCCAAAAUCAACCUAGAGGAGCCUGUUACGUAAUCGAUAAUCCACGAUAGACCCAACCAACUCUCGCACUAUAACCGUCUAUAUACCGCCAUCUUCAGCAAACAAUACCGCCAUCUUCAGCAAAACA